GGAUAAUGUCACACGCUAAAAACAAUGCUGGCUUUUGAGUCUGGAAAACUGUGUUUGUAUCCCAUCCCCUACAUUCCCUAUCUAUGUGAAAUAGCUGUUUUAACCUCUCUGCCUCAGUUUCCCAAUUUGUCAGAUAGGUAGGCCAUGGCUUGAUCUCCUUACCUCCCAAGAAUAUGAUGAGAAAAGGGCCUUGUAAAUCUUGAAGGAUCAUACCCGUUUCGGCUUUUAUUAUUAGGCUUUGAAACCCCCAGCCAGCUAUUUUCUGGAUCUCCAACUCAGUGGAAUUCAAAGAGAGGCAUCAGUAAUUUAUAAGGAAGGGAAGACCUCUGGAGAGUCUGUUUUUCUGUUUGUGCAGCAGUCUGAGACCUGAGGGGGGAGGGAGGGUCAUGUGACGUGUCGGAGGGAUCAUUCUCAGCCCUGUCAGCCAGGGCCGCUCUGAGGCCAGGGGCCAGAGUAUUGUUAGCACUGCCUCAGAGCCCCAUGUCAGCCAUCAACACCACUGCCAGGCAGUCGGACUGGCAGGCCUGACGGAGAAUGACUGGUUCAGAUGGGAAGAUUUCUAAGGAAUCCCAACAGCCUGAAAACCGUCAAACCAGGCAGGAUGACUUGUUUGGAACUUAAUCUUCAGUUAGAAAUGAAAACGACCUCCGAAUGGACUUGUCACUGACGCAAGCUGACAGAGAGAGGUACCUUAGGAGCUACUGUAUCCCUUUUCAAACUCUCUGGGAACAAUGAGAAAAGCAGAAGGUUGUACAUCGAGGAGUGAGAGCCUCCCAUAAAUUGAGCUAGCUUGGGCAAUGUGUGUGUCAACCUUAACACCCAUGUGGACAUUCCUGGAAGGUAUACUGUCAAGCAAACUCCAGGGACUUCUGGGUAAACAUGGCUGCAAUCUAGAAGAGACUCGCUUCCUCUCCCCAGCACGGAAUGAAAUAGACUACUGCAAAAGAGCAUAAAAAUCACAUUUGGACGAAUGGAGGGACUCUCCAGUACCCCACAGAAAGGA
rnacentral:lncRNA from 1 species